rnacentral:lncRNA from 1 species
AUUCCUCUGCCUUCCUCUACCACUAAUACAAUCCACUGCAAUAACACCCAACACCCAGCAAUACAAUUCACAAAAUCAUACUUCUUAGCUCUUAGAUUUCAGAUCCAAUUCAGAAGCAAUAGAGCCUGAUCACUGGUCAGUUGAGUAGAUGCUACUUGUAGUGAGGCAUCUUUGGGGAAAAGAUCAGGCAAAUCACAAGUUUUGGAGUACAAAGCAUUAUCUCCCCAUUAUAAGUAAUAUAUUUGAGAAGUGGUAUGCCAUCAACAGAUUUAAGAGGAAAACAUCUCUAAUUCUCAGCAAGAAAGCAAAGAAGCUCCACAUACAUAUCAGUCGAAGCUCUGGAGAAUAGACAGCAGACUUGAAUGCAUUUCCCGUACCAUCCAUUACAAUCACCAACUGGUGGAAGUCCAAGGAAAUCCCAAACUUGAUCAAAUCUCUGUAGUCCAUCGAAUUAUGUACGAUACACCUCCGCUGAAAAGAAAUCUCAUCAACUAUCAUAUUGUACAGCAAUUCAAGAAGACAAACCCUGUAGGAGCGUUCCAAAUCGGAGCCGACUUCCAUAAAGAAUCCCCCAAACAAGAUCAAAUCAU